rnacentral:rRNA from 1 species
UACGUAGGGCGCAAGCGUUAUCCGGAAUUAUUGGGCGUAAAGAGCGUGUAGGCGGCCAAGCAGGUCAGCUGUGAAAACUCGAGGCUCAACCUCGAGACGUCGGUUGAAGCUGCUUGGCUAGAGUCCGGAAGAGGAGAGUGGAAUUCCCGGUGUAGCGGUGAAAUGCGCAGAUAUCGGGAAGAACACCCGUGGCGAAGGCGGCUCUCUGGGACGGUACUGACGCUGAGACGCGAAAGCGUGGGGAGCGAACAGG